rnacentral:rRNA from 1 species
CCCUUAGAUGUUCUGGGCUGCACGCGCGCUACACUGAUGCACUCAACGAGUUUACGACCUUGUCCGAGAGGAUUGGGUAAUCUUUUUAAAAUGCAUCGUGAUGGGGAUAGAUUAUUGCAAUUAUUAAUCUUCAACGAGGAAUUCCUAGUAAGCGCGAGUCAUCAGCUCGUGCUGAUUACGUCCCUGCCCUUUGUACACACCGCCCGUCGCUCCUACCGAUUGAAUGGUUUAGUGAGAUCUUCGGAUUGGCGCCACUGCGGCUCAGCAAUGGGCUCGGUGGAUGCCGAAAAGUUGAUCAAACUUGAUCAUUUAGAGGAAGUAAAAGUCGUAACA